CCCCGCUUCCUGCAAAGACUCUAUCCGCUACUCCGAAAUUCCACUGUCUCUGCGACAUCUGCGCCCAAGAUGAGGAGUUCCAUACCAGGACAUCCGAGAUGAGGUCAUGUGUUGCCUCCCU